rnacentral:lncRNA from 1 species
CACAGAGGCAAUGAUCGGGAUGUGAAUUUUCGCAUACCCAGUGUCCCACAGUGAAUAAAAUCUGCCGCUCCAAGGAGCGAUAUAGCCUGUGUACGUCAAAUAGAUGACACUCAGGAAUACAAUACCAGCAGCCAGUGAGACACCCAAGAAGAACAAGGUCUGAAACUCUUGCUUUGUUAGCCUAUCUCUCAGAUACUGCAAAAAUGCAUAUGCCUGCAGCAAUGCAAAAACACCUGCAGCUGCCAUGUGUUCACUUGUUCUAAUUGGUUGAAAUCCCACAAAAGGUAUCUGCAUUGAUAAUAUUAACCCGACGAUGUAGAAAGUGCUAUAUGCAAUGUAGACCCUCCUGCUGUACCUUUGCAUCAGCAGCAGAACAAACACAUGCAGUGGAAUAAGGUUGAUGAUGAAAACGUAACCACCCCAUGCAGAGACCAUGUAGAAGUAAGAUAGACAGCAGCAGAUUGUCCAAAAGACUGACCCAGUUUUCAC